UUAUAAUGAUGUUUUGCCAUGCUAAUACUGAGGGACCAUCUGGGUCUCGCUGAGUUGAACUUUUACAUAUGUUCUGAAUGUC